GACAUGUGCUGUUAAGGGUGAAGGCCUCUCUGAGGGCAUGGACUGGUUGAGUAAUACUCUCAAGUCAGGGGGUGGCUAACUUUGUCAGAGGAAGUGCAUGCUUGGAGUGAUCUUAAUUGUUAUUGCCAUUGAUUUAUGCUUGGCUUGCAUUCAUUCCUUGUCAUGCUCUUUCUUCUUAUUGUCCUUUUCAUUUAUGGAGGUUUUAG
rnacentral:misc_RNA from 1 species